ACUAUAACAAUGCAAGACUGCAAUGGGAGGUGGGGUAAUAUAAUAAUUAUUAGUGCUUUUUUGUGAUUUUAAUCAUGUCCAAAUGGACCAUGUCAGUAAUUUUCUCAACUUUAGAUUAGGGCUGCAACUAAUGAUUGUUUUGAUAAUCGAUUAAUCUUUGAUUAUUUCUACGGUUAAUUGAUUAAUCGGAUAAAAACUGAAAUUUUAUUCCUGUAUUUUAUUAAAAUAUUAUUUUCAAAACACUGAUAUGAUAAAGGGCAUAAAGAUUUGGUUUGAUUUACAUUACUGAAUUCACGAUUCUAUACUCUCACAAAACUUUGAACAAAGCCUGAAUCAUGAAAAGUUACGUUUGGAUUUUUUAUUAUUGAUAUUAUUAGAAACAAUCCCUUUACUUGUAAAACUUAACAAAAAGUGCUCAUCAUUAAAGAGUAAAUUGAUCCAUAGGGCAUGGAGUGGGACAAAAACAUCAGCCCAACAGAGCGCAAUAGUGACACGAGAAUAGAAAUAUUAAUAAUUCUGCCCAGCUGAAAAAUACAUAAUUAUGUUAGAUACAUAUCCUUGUACACUGUCACUGAUUACAUACAUUUAAGUAUUUUAAUAUUAUAGUUUUUAAAAUAGUAUUUUCACUGAUUACAUGUUUCUAAACUAUUCUUUUAAAAAAAAAUGUGUAUGGCUUAUCCAGUAAAAUAAUGUUUGCCAUUGUAUAAAUUUACUAGUGAAAUCAGACAUUGCAUGUGGCAUUAUCAGGAGGACUUUCAAAUAUCAGGACCCUUCGCAUUAUUAUACAUUAUAUUCAGCAUUACAUACAGUUUAAUAUAGUACAGUCAUCUGUAAACCCUGUGCAAAUUCACUCUCGCACUAAAAAAAGUCAUCCCGGUGCUCACUGUAUUACAUGCGCUUACAUGAGCAGGAGAAAACACUUUAAAAACCGGCACACCUUGACUGCUGAGACUUCAGUCUGAUAUCCAUGAAAGCUGCACAAGUGAUUACACUGAAACUGAAAUCGUGGUAUGAUGUUGCACGAGUUUAAUCAAAAUGAUUGCACUUCCUUUCUCCGUUGCGAUUUGUUUGAUUGACGUGAAUGCACGUUCUUGCUUGCUCAUUAAAGUUUAACAGAGACUCGCUUGUGGUAAGAACAAACAGUUUUGCGAAGUACGUGGCUGAUUUUGAAUUCAUAACAUGUUUACAUUAUAAAACAUAGACAAUAGCAGUAAAACGUAAGUGAUGCGCUGGAGAGAAACAUCUCUCAAUCGCAUCAAACAGCGCAAUGACUCUGUAAACACACCUGACGCAGAAACUGUUCCACAUUAAUCUGUGUGAUUAUUAUGAUCUUCUUUGAAGUGUUUAUUAAGUGCUCUCGUGCGCUGGACAACUUAGAUCGUGUUUUUCCGCUACAACUUGUCUCCAUUGUUUUUCAAACGAAUUUUAUUAUGCAACACAUUUUUCACUGGGCUGUGAAGUAUCCAACUAAUCAAUAAUGAAAUUCGUUGUCGAUAAUUUCCAUUAUCGAUAAUUAUCGAUUUUAUCGAUUAGUUGUUGCAGCCCUACUUUAGAUCAUUUACGUGUCACAACAAUGCUUAAAUGCAGUAGAUAGACCUAUACUGACAGGAAUUGUAUAUCUUACGUUAACUGAACUCACAAAGAGUUCUCCAAAGAGUUCCUAGCUAGGAGUUUUUUGCUUUAAACCUAUUCACAAAACUGCUAAGAGCAAGUUUUACUAAGGAAAUCUUAAGAUAAGAGACCUUGUUGCUAUGGAUGAUGUCACGUUUUAUGAGCGCUCUCGUUUAAACUCGCUCUCGCCCACAAUGAUUGGUAGACAGUGAACCUCUAUUUGUCAGCGAAGACAGACAACGAUAUAUAUACAACCCCAAUUCGGAAAAAUGUGGGACAGUAUGAAAAAUGCUAAUAAAAACAAAAAGGAGUGAUUGUAAAUUAUAUUCACCCUUUGCUCUAUUGAAAGCACUACAAAUACACAUGAUGUUUUACCUUGUGAAUUUCAUUGUUUUUUGGAAAUGUACAGUUAUUUCAAAUCAGAUGAUUGCAACACGCUCCACAAAAGUUGAGAUGGGUAAUUCAAGACUAAUAACAAUUUGACAAGUUGAAAUAUCAAGGCGAUGUGAAACAGGAGAUGUUAAACAGGUGAGGCAGUUGUGUCAAAUAUAAAGAGCCUCCAAAAACAGCCUAGUCCUUCAAGAGCAAGGAUCAUUCUAGACUUGUCAAUUUGCCUACAGAUGCUUCAGCAAAUAAUCCAGCACUUUGAGAACAAUGUUCCGCAAUGACAGAUUGGAAGGAUUUGGGGCAUUACACCCUCUACAGUGCACCAUAUAUUUAAAAGAUUCAAGGAAUCUGGUCAAAUCUCGGUGCUUAAUAAACAUCAUUCAUGUGUAAUGGAUAUUAUGAACAUGAGCUUGGGAUUACUUUAGUAACCUUUGUUAGUCAACACCACUUGCUGCUGCAUCCACAGAUGCAAGUUAAGACUUUACUAUGUAAAGGAGAAGCCAUACAUCAACACUGUCCAGAAGCGCUGCCGACUUCUCUGGGCUCGGUCUCAUCUUAGAUGGAAAGUAGAAUAGAAGUUUUUGGUCUUAAGAGUCCACAUUUCUUUUUGUUUUUGAAAAACACAGCCGUGCCAAAGAGGAAAAGGGCCAUCCAGGCUGUUUAUUAGCAUCAGGUCCAAAAGCCAGUGUCUAUAUGGGCCAGGGGUGUGUCAGUGCCCAUGGCAUGGGUAACUUGCACAUCUGUGAGGGCACCAUUAAUGCAUACAGAUAUGUACAAAUUUUGGAGCAACAUAUACUGCCAUCCAGCACCGUCUUUUCCAGGGAAGUCCCUGCAUUUUCCAGCAGAACAAUUUCAAACCACAUACUGCCUGGAUUUCAAGUGCAUGGCUGUGUAAGUAGAGAGUGUGCGUGCUAGAUUUGCCUGCCUGCAGUCCAGACCGGUCUCCAAUUGAGAAUCUGGCACAUUAUUAAGCAAACCAUCUGGCAAUGAAGACCCCAUACAGUUGUGCAGCUAAAGACUUAUGUAAUGGAUGAAUGGGGGAAAUUCCACUUUCUAAACUUAACAAACUUGUGUCUUCAGUGCCCAAAUUCUUAAUAAGUGUUAUUAGAAGAAGGUCUGAGGUCCAGAGUGCUCUGGAGCAGGUUUUCAUCAAGGAUGUCUCUGUACAUUGCUGCAUUCAUCUUUCCCACGAUCCUGACUCGUCUCCCAGUCCUGCCGCUGAAAAACAUCCCCACAGCAUGAUGCUGCCACCACCAUGCUUCACUGUAGGGAUGGUGUUGUCCAGGUGAUGAGCAGUGCCUGGUUUCCUCCAGACAUGACGCUUGCCAUUCAUGCCAAAGAGUUCAAUCUUUGUUUCUCAUGGUCUGAGAGUCCUUCAGGUGCCUUUUGGCAAACUCCAGGCAGGCUGCCAUGUGCCUUUUACUGAGGAGUGGCUUCCAUCUGGCCACUCUACCAUACAGGCCUGAUUGGUGGAGUGCUGCAGAGAUGGUUGUUCUUCUGGAAGGUUCUCCUCUCUCCACAGAGAAAUGCUGGAGCUCUGUCAGAGUGACCAUCAGGUUCUUGGUCACCUCCCUGUCUAAGGCCCUUCUCCCCCGAUCGCUCAGCUCUAGGAAGAGUCCUGGUGGUUCUAAACUUCUUCCAUUUAAGGAUGAUGGAGGCCACUGUGCUCAUUGGGACCUUCAAUACUGCAGAAAUUUUUCUGUACCCUUCCCCAGAUCUGUGCCUCGAUACAAUCCUGUCUCGGAGGUCUACAGACAAUUCCUUGGACUUCAUGGCUUGGUUUGUGCUCUGACAUGCACUGUUACCUGUGGGACCUUAUAUAGACAGGUGUGUGCCUUUCCAAAUCAUGUCCAAUCAACUGAAUUUACCAGUGGAAACAGGAUGCACCUGAGCUCAAUUUUGAGUGUCAAAGAUUUCAAACAAACUCCUUUCAUGUUGUCAUUAUGGGGUAUUGUUUGUAGAAUUUUGAGGAAAAUAAUGAAUUUAAUCCAUUUUGGAAUAAGGCUGUAACAUAACAAAAUGUGGAAAAAGUGAAGCGCUGUGAAUACUUUCCGGAUGCACUGUAGAUAUAUAGAUAGAUUUUUUUUUUUUUACAUUUUGGUUGAUGAACAUUUCUUCAUUCUUUAUCCAAUACACCGGGUAUCCCUGCAAUGGCUGUGAUUGCCCCCUUUUUUCUCUGAAGCGAGCACGCAUCAACAGGAAAAAAUACGCUAUGAAUUGUCGGACAAUAUCUCGAGGAUAUAUACAUAAAGUUUGGCAUAUGUAGUUCGAUAGAUGAUUCUGCUGACGGAUAAGAGAAAUUCCGAAUUCAUCCGCACUGCACAGUUUAGUUUUAAUGUGGCCAGGGAGCGCAGAGUAGUCAAAACCUUUAUUCCCAGUGAUAUUGGGUUGUUUCUAUUCAUGGGAGAGGUAACUGCAUCUUGAAGUUUACAAUAAUGAAAAUAACCUAGCGAUUCAGGCGAUACCAUGGUCAAUGUCCACAUUAUAAUAUUUAUAAUAUUAUAAUAUAUUACUAAAAUACAUCGACUCAUUUGUUAUUCAGGCGAUUACUUCUUAAACGGUCAAUGUCAUAAUAAUAUUGUAUUAUAUUGUUUUUAAUGUGGAUUGACGACAUUGGACAUGUGUCGGAUCAUUUGAGUCACUCUUAGGGAGUUAGAAGUACUCAGGACGACUUCUAAGCUGUCGUGGGUUUAGGAGCUACUUUUAGCAUUAAAGAAAUAGUUCACCCAAAAAUGAAAAUUCUCUCAUUAUUCACUUACCCUGAUGCCAUCCCAGAUGUGUAUGACUAUCUUUCUUCAUCAGAACACAAAUGAAGAUUUCUAGAAAAAGUUAGAGCUCUGUCCGGUCCUUAUAUUGGAUGUUCUCGGUUCCAGCACUUUGAUGGUCCAAAAGUCAUAUUUUGGCGACCCCCCUGGCGAAUUCCCCUGAGGAAGGACCUUCUUUCUCAGGGAUGGGGCACCAUCUGUCACCCACCACCAGACCUCUGGAAUCUCCACGUCUGGCCCUUGGACGGGACGCGGAAGACCUGAAGUUGCCUACCACCCGCAGUGGUAGACACGAUCACUCAGGCUAGGGCUCCCUCUACAAAGCGCCUGUAUGCCUUGAAGUGGUGUCUGUUCACAAAGUGGUGUUCUUCCCGACGUGAAGACCCCAGAGAUGCUUAGUCGGAUCAAUGCUUUCCUUCCUGCAGAAGAGGCUGGAAGGACAGCUGUCCCCCUCCACCUUGAAGGUGUAUGUAGCCACCAUUUUGGCACAUCAUGAUGUAGUGGAUGGUAAGUAUUUGGGGAAGCACGACUUGAUCAUCAGGUUCCUGAGAGGCGCUAGGAGGUUGAAUCCCUCGAGACCGCGCCUCAUCCCCUCGUGGGACCUCUCUGAAGUCCUUCAGUGUCUACGGGGAGCUCCCUUUGAGCCCCUGGAGUCAGUUGAGCUUAAGGCACUCUCUUGAAAACUGCCCUCCUGACUGCGCUCACUUCCAUCAAGAGGGUAGGGGACCUGCAGGUGUUCCCUGUCAGCGAAUCGUGCCUGGAGUUCGGUCCGGGUUACUCUCACGUGAUCCUGAGACCCCGACCGGGCUAUGUGCCCAAGGUUCCCACAACCCAUUUUUGGGAUCAGGUGGUGAACCUGCAAGCACUGCCCCAGGAGGAGGCAGACCCAGCCUUGGUGUUGCUGUGUCUGGUGUGUGCUUUACGCAUCUAUUUGGAUUGCACGCAGAGCUUUAGAAGCUCCGAGCAGCUCUUUGUCUGCUUUGGUGGACAGCGGAAAGGAAGCACUGUCUCCAAACAGAGGAUUGCCCACUGGGUCGUUGACGCCAUCGUGAUGGCAUAUCACGCUCAGGACGUGUCGCCCCCCGUGGGGCUACGAGCCCACUCUACUAGGAGUGUAGCGGCCUCCUGGGCCCUGACCAGUGGCGCCUCUUUGGCAGACAUCUGCAUAGCAGCGGGCUGGGCAACAACCAACACCUUUGCAAGGUUUUAUAAUCUCCGGGUUGAGCCGGUUUCAUCCCGUGUGUUGUCAUGUAUGAGCAGGUAAGUUCCGGAACAGCUUGCCGGGUGUACCACUUGCGCAUAGCGCCUUUCCCCUCCCAUGAGGUGAAGAUGUGCGCUUUUGACUCCCAGUCGCGUUCACAAGUUGUGAUCCCUGGAUGACUUUCCUCCUUAGCCCUGUGCUAACUAAGCCCUGUACUGGGGUAGGUGCUCCACAUGCGCUGGUUCCCCAUAGGUGACCCCAUGUGAUAUGUCUUCCACUAAAUCGUUUCCCUGUCGGUAAACUGCGUCUUCCUUGGGCAGAGGUUCCUCUGCUCCCAGUCACCAUGCUUGUAGAACUCCUCCCCCGUUGGGUAGGACCUACCAGGAGACUUCUCCACAUGACAUACUUCCAACAAGACUCGUUAAGACCAUGUGACCCCGGGGGUGUGUGGUCUCCGCGGUGUCUUCCCCUUGGGAGUGACACCCCCCCGACGUAGACACUUAUGGCCCCCAGCCGGUAAACAAAAUUCCACUCUUUUUGGGGAGAAAAAAGAGGAAAAGAGGCCACUGCUGGGCUAGACUUUCCCUAUUUGUUGGGCAGUCGACUUGUUCCCAAAGGACCGUUCGACGUUCAUAAGAGCGUUGGGGGAGGUUACAUUACGGCCUGGUGCGCUGGUUACGAGGCACACAGCAGUUUGCCCGUCUCGCACUGCCAGUCCACGUAACACAGUUCAGCUAGUUGUGGCGUUUCGUAUAGGGACCCCUAGUGUCACUACAUUGACACAACGUCGAGUGAGUGACAGAUAGGGAACGUCCUGGUUACUUUCGUAACCUCCGUUCCCUGAUGGAGGGAACGAGACAUUGUGUCCCUCUUGCCACAACACUGAACUACCCGCUGAAAUGGCCAGGACCUUGUCUCGGCUCCUCAGCACAAAACCUGAAUGAGUGGUUGCAUACCAGCUCCUUUUGUCCGGGGGAGUGGCAUGCAAAUUCCACUCGCCAGUUCCCAUUGGCAUUUUUUCAAAAAGCAGAGGUGUUUAGGGCUCCCAAGAGUGACCCCUAGUGUCACUACAUCGACACAACGUCUCGUUCCCUCCAUCAGGGAACGGAAGUUACGAAAGUAACCAGGACGUUUUCUAUUUAAAAUAUUCUAAAAAUCCUUAAACCAAGAUAUAUUUGCUUGAAAAGCAACAUAUGAGAUAUUUAGAGUAAUUAAAUAUAAGUGUAUUUUGUAUAUAAGGGUGUUUUUUUCACUUGGUUAUACUUCUGCGAGUGCAGUAAAGACAAAAUAUACUUAUAUUCAAAAUCUAUUCUCUAAAAGCAAGUCUAAUUAUCUUAUAUGCUGCUUCUCAUGUGAAUGCAUCUUUUUUUAAAGGAUUUGUAGGUGUUUUAAAAUUUUUGUAUUUUUAAUAUUAUAUUCAACAUUCUCAGAUAACAAUUUUGUCUUCUACAGUAUAGCUGCUAAAGUUAAAGUACAUUGUUUUAAAGGAGUUUUAGAUAUUUAUAUUGGAAAACAAGCCAAAACAAAAACAAAUCAAAAACCUCUCUCACUUUUCUGUUCACUUCAAUCCAUCUUUAACUCACAAAAAACAAACUCUCUCUCAUUAAUAAAGCUGCGUAUUGACAAUGUUCUUCAGGAUAAAAAAUGCACAGUGACACAUAUAUUAUGAUUGAAUAAAUCACGAGUCAUCACGUUAUAAUCUAGCUGCAUUAAGCGUGUGCGCUUGAGGGAUGAGCGUCUUCGUGACAGAGUGUGCAUCAGCCGGGUGCAGUUUCAGUCUCUCCCCCUUAGAUCGGGACAUUCACACAACUCAUAGUAGAGGCGCUGACUGCACAGAGAAAUGCCAGUUUUGGAGUUUGUAGUUAUUUACAUGAUCUGCUUCCGUAUAAUUUGAACUUUAAUAAAGCUAUAACCCAUUAAAUAUAACUGCAUUAAAGAUGUAACGCCGGGGUGUUUCCUUUAAAGACGCUCGACAUGCAGGUUUUGCUCCAGCUCCACUUAUUCCACAACGAGAGUGCUUCUGUAUUUACUUCUUUUAUAUUUUUGCAUUAUAAUUCCCUCAUACUUCACGAUCUACAUCACCUGAAGCUGUUUGGAAAGUUUAUAGUGCAUCUGGACUGUGAUCUGUAUAAUUCUUCCUCUCCUCAGUCAGUCGUGAUCUGCAGUGCUGCUCUCUCGUGUCAUCAUUAGAGUUUAUUGUGAUCUCAUUUUACAUUAAAUGAGAUAAAACGACUAUUUGACAACGAAAAAUGUUGUUGACAGUUUUUUAUUGUUGACGUUGUUGAAAAGUUUCAGCCCUAUAUUUGAUGAUAUUCAGACGAUAUUCAGCCCUAUAUUUGAUGGUCCAAACGUCAUAUUUAGGCAGCAUGAAAGUAAUCCAAUUUGGCAAAACAAUAGGUUGGUGUAUGAAACAAAUCGAUAAUUAAAAGGUUUUUUAACUUUAAAUCGUUGCUUCCACCCAGUGCUGUAUUUCAGUUUGAAAUGACCUAAUUCUCGCCUGACGUUCAUUCCUCUGUUGUAUACAAAGUGCGUGCACAUCACUGAUGUGUCUGAAUUUAUUUUUUAAGUUAAUAAAGUUUUAAUUAUCGGUUUAAUUUUUACACAUAUCUAUCCAUUUGCUUCAGAAGACAUUAAUUGAUUGACUGGAGUCGUGUGGAUUACUUUCAUGCUGCCUAAAUAUGACUUUUGGACUGUCAAAUAGCCAGCAGACUGAUGGCACCCGUUUACUUACAUUGUAUGAACAAGGGCUAAAACGAUUGUCGACAUUAUCAUCAACAUCGAGAAAUAAAAAAAAUUUGACAAAAAUGUCCUUUUUAACAUUGUUCUCUCCGUGUAAUUUUUGUGCUGUCUCACUUGUUGUCUGCUUGCACUAAUGUUAUACAUGUUGCACUGGCCCGAUCGGGCAAGUGAUAGUUCUAGCAACUGACUCGAAUCUCUCUCACACUGGCCCAGAGCCAUCGGACAGUCCUCACUGUCCUUAUUCCUUACAGCCCAGAAUGCACAAAAUAUGCAGUGUUAUUGGUAAUUGCAUGGGUGCUACCAAAGCAUGUGUUGGUGCCACAUUUUCAACGGGUCCUUUGAGGGCACAAAUAAAUCCUGAUGCGGCGCAGGCUACAAUUGAGUUUGACACCUCAGUUAUAAGCUAUUCCUCCACCAAUGCAUGUUAAUAUGGGUCUGGCGUUGCAAACUCAAAACACGUGUGCAUAACAGCACCGCUGCUGAGAAAAAUCCUAGGGGAAACACUGAACACAUUAUGAUGGAUAAAGACACUGGAAAACUAGUUUUAUUUUUAUAUAAGCAAUGAGAUGUUUAUCGUUCUUCACUCUGCUGGUUGAAAUGUUUCUUUAGAUAACAACUUGAUUUUUAAUGACACUCGCUGUUAGUUAUUUCAUGUUCUUGACUCCUGUUUAUGUAAUGGUUGUGUUUUCAUAGUUAAUGAGCCGCUGGAUGGUACUGUGACUGUAUAUGCAACCCCAAAUGAGGUGAAAAAUCAGGAUUCAUAGUUGGGAAUGGAUGUCUAGCUUGAUAAGAAAAUAACAGCGCUACAUCUGAUAAACAACAAGCUUCUGCAUUAUGGCGGGGAAACCUUUAUCUGAACCGUAUCUACCAAAUCUGAAGAAUCAUUUGUCUGGAGAAACGUCUUCAACACGAACAGUCUUUGAUUUUGUUUUUUCUAGAAUUAACAAUUCAAUAGAAAGGACCAUAUGUAAACUUUUCAAUAUUAUUUACAUUUUUUUAUAAAUCGCCCAUGAGUUUGAACAUUGAGUUUGCUUGAUCUUGAUGUGUUUUUCAAAUCUGAUUUUAGGACCGAUCAUCCACAAUGUUAUCUGCAAGUUAGGGCUGCUCGAUUAUGGCAAAAAUCAUAAUCAUGAUUAUUUUGGUCAAUAUUGAGAUCAUGAUUAUUUAACAUGAUUACUGAAAAUUUGUCCCAUUAAUUUUUCUACAUCUUGCAGCUUGACAUCAAACAUGUGUCCUGAAUGAGAAACAAACAAACAUGUCACGUGUCUUUAGAAAAAUUUACAUAAAAUAAACUAAAUACAUCCAUACUACAAAAAAAUUAAUAAUCAAAUUCAAAUUAGAUAUGUACUGAAAUUAGAUUUGGAUUGCAAAUGUUUAUGAAUCAUCACCCAUUCUGAGAUGUAUUAUUGUGUAAACAUCUGUGUAUAUUAGGGCUUGCACAACUACUUAUUUUUACAGUGGAUUUUUUGUCCAGAAAAGCUGUGAGAUGUGAGAAUUGUUUUGGAAGUAUAUUUGUAAUGUUUUGGAGUCACGUAUUAACCUUUAUUUCAAACCUUUGUCAUUAUUUUGUCUGCCACAUCAAAUAUACUAAUGUAAAGCUAAAAAUGUUCUUCAUUCACACUGUUUGAUUUUUGUAUUUUAAUGUAAAACUUGUGUUUCAUUUAUCUGUUACCAUUUUAAGUUGUUAAUUUUGCAAUGUUAAACACCAAAUUAGACUGACCUAAAAUGAACUUUCUUCGAAAUUAUCAUUAGCUUUUUUUUUUUUGCAUUGAAAAGUGCUCCAUUGAAUGACCCCACUGACCGAGAGGAGUUUGACAAACAUGUAAACCUGAAUAAUUUAGCGGAUGAGAGGUUGCAGAACCUCCCUCCUGUGGUCCGUGCAUACAUCGUUUAUUUUAGUAUAUGACAUUGAAUGUAUAAAAAUGUAAAAUGGCUUGCCUGAAUGGUGUUAAAUGUAUGUUGCUGGUUUUUCUUUUAAGGAAGGAACCAUAAUGGAACACUUUUUUUUUUUUUCUUAGAUAAGGAUAAAUUAAGGAAGUUAUUGGGUCAUCACCUGCUCUGUUGUUACUCUGAAAAUGAACCCUUGGUGGCUGCAACAUUUGCUCUUAGAUGUCUGGUAAUGUGUUCUUAGUUAAAGGGAAAGCCGCAGACUUUGUGGUCUACAGUAUCAUACACAAGCCAUCUGCUUUUUUAUUAAUUUAUUCUCAUAGUUUUUUUUUUUUUCAUUUUUAUUUAUCUACGAUGUUAUUAAAAUUCACGACAAAAUAGAGUAAUUGUAAUGCAAUAAUGUAAGUUAGCAUUCGUGAAAUGCACGUGUGUGUGUGUGUGUGUGUGCGCGCACGUGUGUAUACAGUCAUUACAACUGGACUUUAGAUUUGUUUUUAAUUCGAGAUAAAAUGUUCUCCAACCACAAUAAAAAACAAAACUGGAGUACAUUUAAAUGAUAACAAAUGAAAUAAAUGCAGUAUUAUAUUCACUUUGUCUCUGUAUUCCCUAGUUGUCUAUUUACAACAUUUAUUAAUUUACCUUUUAUUUCAAGACAAAAAUGUUCACAGUAUGUUUUAUGAAAAACCUCACAAAACAAGGCUGUAUGAUGUCAGUACCUUGAUGUUUUGGCUUUAUGAAAUGUGUUUUACGUUUUCUCUAGCACUGCAAAUUUGUUUCAUGGAGUAAUAUUAGAGUAAUACAUAUUCUUUGUCAAAUAUGUAAUUUAGAUUUAUGCCACCCCCUUUGUUGAG